UACGUAGGGUGCAAGCGUUGUCCGGAAUUAUUGGGCGUAAAGAGCUCGUAGGCGGUCUGUCGCGUCUGCUGUGAAAACUCGGGGCUUAACCCCGGGCCUGCAGUGGGUACGGGCAGACUAGAGUGCGGUAGGGGAGACUGGAAUUCCUGGUGUAGCGGUGAAAUGCGCAGAUAUCAGGAGGAACACCGGUGGCGAAGGCGGGUCUCUGGGCCGUUACUGACGCUGAGGAGCGAAAGCGUGGGGAGCGAACAGG
rnacentral:rRNA from 1 species